rfam:Lactobacillus concavus DSM 17758 NODE_267, whole genome shotgun sequence.
GGGCCUGUAGCUCAGUUGGGAGAGCGCCUGCUUCGCAUGUAGGAGGUCAUCGGUUCAAGUCCGACCAGGUCCA